UCUCUUCUGCCUCACUUACUCUUUCUCUCAUCUUCCCUCUUACAAGAGAAAACCCUAACUCAAAGAAACCCAAAAUACCACCACCGAAUCUCUUUCUCGCUCACAUUCUAUGUAAAAAACUUCCGGAGGUUGUAGAUAUCGAACCCUAGAUUUCAAAACAAAAAUAAAAACCCCAAAAUCUCAAUGUUGAGCUGAAAAAAAAACCCUAGAUUUCAAAAUCAAAAUCUCUGAAGAAAAAUGCGUGAAGGUUGUGUUCUGGUGGAUGAAUGAAACUGAUGCUGUAAUCGUUACACAAAACCCCUUUUGAUUCAUUCAAAACCCAGACUGGAUUCGGGUUUUGAGUUGCAUCCAGUAAAAGGGUUUAGCUCAAUUUUGAGUUUUCUGAAGCCAGUGAUGCCAGGAUAACCCCUUCUGAUGAGAACCAGAUUGAGAAGAAAUCUGUUGAACAAAGAAAGGAUUGUUUCUGCUGUUAAAUUGGAUGGAUGACUGGAAUUUUGGGUUAUGGUGGAUUCGAGUUUACAGCGAGCUGUGGAGAGAUUGAGCAAGGUCCAAUUUCAGAAAGGAUCUGAGAUUGUUAGUUCUGGUGGGUAUCUAAGAAGAUGAUGGUCUGAUUGAUGCUGAGAAGAACAUGCAGAAGAAGACAUGGAUCUGGUGGUGUUACUGAGAUUUGAGUUGGUGCUGCUGGUAAUUGUUUUACGAUGAACCUAUGUUAAAAUCUUGCAAUCUGUGUGGAAGAUCUUAAUAAGUUACUAGGUGAAUGCAAUGAAAAUUAUCUCAGUGAGGGGGUAAGCAAGCCUGCUAAACUCUGGAAUGAACAACGCAAAAUGAUAUUGGAAGACACGUUUAAGCAAGUUUUUCCUAUGAUGGAAAAGGAAGCUCGGUCUCUAUUAAAUGCUAGGGCAAAUAACUGGCUUAUUAUGGAGCAUGAGAAGCACUUGUGGGGUAAGGUUUCUGUGGCACCUUAUCAACGGAAGGAAGCUGAUAUUGGUCCAGAUGAUGAAGCGGCAAAAUGAUAUUGGAAGACACGUUUAAGCAAGUUUUUCCUAUGAUGGAAAAGGAAGCUCGGUCUGUAUUAAAUGCUAGGGCAAAUAACUGGCUUAUUAUGGAGCAUGAGAAGCACUUGUGGGGUAAGGUUUCUGUGGCACCUUAUCAACGGAAGGAAGCUGAUAUUGGUCCAGAUGAUGAAGCGGCAAAAUGAUAUUGGAAGACACGUUUAAGCAAGUUUUUCCUAUGAUGGAAAAGGAAGCUCGGUCUGUAUUAAAUGCUAGGGAAAAUAACUGGCUUAUUAUGGAGUAUGAGAAGCACUUGUGGGGUAAGGUUUCUGUGGCACCUUAUCAACGGAAGGAAGCUGAUAUUGAUCCAGAUGAUGAAGCGGCACCAAGAGUUUUGGCUUGUUGUUGGGGACCUCGAAAGCCAGCAACCACUUUUGUGAUGUUGGGUUCAUCAGGUGAGGUACUGGAUGUAUUGUAUGCAGGUUCACUUAGCCUUCGGUCUCAGAGUGUUACUGACCAGCAACGGAAGAAAAAUGAUCAACAACGUGUUCUUAAGUUCAUGACCGAUCAUCAACCACAUGUUGUGGUUCUAGGAGCUGUUGCAUUUUCUUGUACGAAGCUGAAAGAGGAUAUUUUCGAGAUCAUUUUUAAGAUGAUUUAGGAAUACCCUAGAGAAAUUGGUCAAGAGAUGGAGGAUUUAAAUGUUGUUUAUGGGGACGAAUCCUUGCCCCGUCUUUAUGAGAACUCACGGAUUUCGUCUGACCAGCUACCAGGGCAGCCAGGUGAGUUCUGUUUCCCACUUUUGAUUCAGGUGCUUGAUGAGUUUGACUCUGCUUUCUUUAAUGUCUGCAGGGAUCGUCAGGCGUGUUGUUGCGCUUGGUCGGUACCUUCAGAAUCCUUUGGCAAUGGUUGCAACACUUUGUGGACCAGGGAAGGAGAUACUCUCAUAGAAGCUCGACUCGUUAGAUCAUUUUCUUACCCCUGAUGAGAAAUAUGAUAUGGUUGAACAAGUGAUGGUAGAUGUCAUGUUUGGAUAUGGUAUCAAGAAGUUACAAAUUAUGAUGACAAUUGUGGAUGACUUGGUAUCCAUCGAUCCCGUAUUGUAUUUUGGUUAAGUGGUCUAUGACACUUCACGUUUGAACCAGUGCCUCUACGGUAUCAUCUACCACUAUGUUUCUCAUAAUCGUUGUUUGGUUUACCAAGAAGAGAGCGCGCAACAAAAGCAGAUCAUUUUCAUUUAGCAAUGUAACAUAGACCACCAUAUUGGAAUGUGUAUGCUACUGUCGUAUUUGUAUGGGAGGCCAACAUCUGCGUUUUACGAUUUAUAUGAUAUUUUUAGUCAUGUAAAAAAAAUCUGUCAUUUUCUUUUCUUUUGUUGCGCAACACACUUUCGAACAAGGUGAUUUGAAGUUAGCUAAGUAAUGUAAUUGGAACAAGGUGAUUUGAAGUUAGCUAAGUAAUGUAAUUGGAGUGGCUGGAUAAAGUUAGCUAAGUAAUGUAAUUGGAGUGGCAUGAUAACUUGAAUGAAUGUAAAUGUGUUACGCUGGCGGGUUAAUGUGAAUGUGAAAUACUUUCGGCAA